GCUCUGGUGGCCUAGUGGUUAGAGCCACCGCCUUGGAUGCGUUGGGUCGUGGGUUUCGAUCCCCUGUCGAGUCA